GCCGCUGUAGCUCAGGUGGUAGAUCAUCGGACCUGUAAUUCGAAGGUCGCAGGUUUGGUCCCUGCCAGCGGCA